rnacentral:lncRNA from 1 species
GGGGAGUAGUACUUUCGAAUGACCUAUGCUGUAGAAGGUGACAUCAAUUAUUGGUUAGGUUCCUCGCUGGUUUCUUAUUCCUCAUUUCAAGCUAAUCUUCUUUCAGAAUUUCUGUCAAAGAAAGAGAGGAGGAGAAGAAAGAUAUUACGUAUCAUGUAGACGAUGACCCCUUGGGGACGAAAAAGAUGGGCCGCCGUUGGAUCAGGGAACUCGACUGCGAUUUCCCCUCCAACCUAUGGUUCCUUACCUGAAAUCAACAGAACGGUCCACCGUGGUCUGAAUAACCAAGAGACUUGUCUUGCCAAGUAUCAUUCGUAGCUACUAUGGUCCAAGAGACUAUCAGUCAUCAUGUAAUUCGGCCAAGAUUCUUUGACUACACACGCAGCUACUAUGGUCGGAUAAGUUGACCAAUAAUAUACAUGAACCCAAUUCGAAUUUGCCCCCUAUCACAUAUGCAAACAAUUGUCGCUGGAAGUCUGGGCAAGGCACGUGCGUUCCCAUUUGGAUGACUCAUCGUGUCUGAACUUCCACGAUACUUCCAUGUCAC